ACGCAAGGAAGCCCAACAAAACAAGGAAAAACAGAGGUGCCAAGAGGUACUGAAGAGCAUCAUUCAAGAAACAGAAUGAAGUUGUGAAGACAAACCACAAAGGAAUCUGAAGUUGAUGAAGAGAAAGAAAAUGUCGACAUUAACCACUAGGAGGCAGUAGCAAGCCACGAGAAAGUAGCUCUUGUCUGAGCACAGCUCCCCUGAUGCCUUGCUGUGGAAAUGCUGCCAUCCCUAAGAAGUGUCAAAAGAAAUUCAGCCGCCCUCCAGCUUCCAAAGGCUACGUGGAGAAAUAAAAACACUAUGAAUUUAACUCCAAGACUUCAAAAGCAUCUGGAUAUAAAAGGACAGCGUCAAGGAAAGAAGCGUCGCCGGCCUGGAGGAAGCCAUAAACUUCUACCUAAGAGACCCACACCUGGGCUCCCAAACGGUCUACGACGAGAGAAUCAAGCGUCUUUAGGAGCUGGUCUGGGUUAUUGGGAUUACUUUGAAUUAAUAAACACUAAUGUGCUCUCCACUGAGUUUUAUCCAGAGAGAACGGCGCUUGAUGCUUUGAUGCUUCUCA